AGUGAACGCUGGCGGUAGGCCUAACACAUGCAAGUCGAACGGCAGCACAGUAAGAGCUUGCUCUUACGGGUGGCGAGUGGCGGACGGGUGAGGAAUACAUCGGAAUCUACUUUUUCGUGGGGGAUAACGUAGGGAAACUUACGCUAAUACCGCAUACGACCUACGGGUGAAAGCAGGGGAUCUUCGGACCUUGCGCGAUUGAAUGAGCCGAUGUCGGAUUAGCUAGUUGGUGGGGUAAAGGCCCACCAAGGCGACGAUCCGUAGCUGGUCUGAGAGGAUGAUCAGCCACACUGGAACUGAGACACGGUCCAGACUCCUACGGGGGGCAGCAGUGGGGAAUAUUGGACAAUGGGCGCAAGCCUGAUCCAGCCAUACCGCGUGGGUGAAGAAGGCCUUCGGGUUGUAAAGCCCUUUUGUUGGGAAAGAAAAGCAGCAGGUUAAUACCCCGCUGUUCUGACGGUACCCAAAGAAUAAGCACCGGCUAACUUCGUG
rnacentral:rRNA from 1 species